CUACUACUCCCUCCGUCCGAAAAUACUUGUCAUUGAAAUCGAUGUAUCUAGAUGUAUUUUAGUUCUAGACACAUCCAUUUUGAUGACAAGUAAUUCCGGACAGAGGGAGUAUUAU
rnacentral:pre_miRNA from 1 species